GUUAGAUUCAGGGACGACGAUAGGAAGGACUUGGGGAGGCGGGGUCCACUGCCCGGUGUCAAGGAGGGAGUGAGGCUCUGGGUGGAUGGAAGGGGCAGUGUGAGCAGCGUUGCCCAGACACCCCCACCCAGCCGAGGACCCUCACCUGAAUGAGGGGACAUCACCAAGAGGACGUCUGUGUCUGGAGCUGGAAGUUAAAAUGUAUGAUAAAAAGAACGAAGGAGGCUUCCAUAUGCCGACAUGGAGCAGUCUCUAAGAUCUGCCACCGCAAAGUUGGACAAGGUGACCCACAGCGCCAGCACCCUGAGUGGAAUGAAGCAUGCCCACACCUGUCCUCCGGGAUGCCCACAGGAAGCUGGGAGAUCGUACAAGAAGGUUCCACCCUGGAAAGGGCUCUGGGAGGCUGACGGGGAGGGCAGGGUGCUGAGAGGAGAGAUUCCGGGGGGAAGAGCCCCUUGCCUUCUCUCUCCCACCCCACCCCCUCCUUCCAACCCGCCCCUCCUUCCCACAUUCGCAACGUUUCUGCAGCGGAAAUGGGGCAUUUUCACCUUCCUGGGGAGAGGCCUGGGAGGAGAGGCAGGUGGCUGGGGUGAGGCCAGCGCAGCUCUGAGCUCGCCCAGGCCAGGAGUGCCUGGCUGAGAACAAGCCUGAGUUGCCGAGGCCAAGGAUGAGGUCCAGACCCGUGAAGGCUGGUGAGGCCCCUGCCGGCCCCUCCGGUUUCUGCGCCUCCACAUCUCUGCUGUCCUCUUUGCCUAGAAUGUCCCUCCCUUGCCACCUGCCCUUCAGGAUUGACCUAACUUGCCCCUUCCUCCAAGAAGCCUUCCUGUUCUGGAAUUCUGCCUGGCUGCUUGGCUGAGAGCAGGGGCCCCGCUGUCUGCCCUGCCCACUGCCAUCUCUCCACCAGGUGGAAAGAAUCUGUUGAAUGAAUGAAUGAGUGAACGAAUGAGUGGAUGAAAGGCAAAGCGUCCAUCUGCAGGGGCCCGUUUUCUACAGGAUGGAAAGGGCUGUUCGGAAGCUCAGAAUGUUCUGUCCUCUUGGCAGACCCAGAGCAUCUUG
rnacentral:lncRNA from 1 species